UCUCCAACUGUGACUUUGGCCCGCGAAGGCGAGUAAUGCCCCGACGACAAGCAGGGCCCGGUACGUCAACAUCGCUGCAAGCUUACCUUGGUGGGCUGUUGGUCCAAAAUCUUCCUUGUUCUCUACGGAUCAGUCAGCGGUACCACACAGUUUUGUCAGGAGUUGAAUGGUUUGCUUCGGGCAGAAGCUGAGUGGCCCUUCUCCAGUCUUCACGCCUGGCAGCUUUGUGUCCGCGUGACGCUCGAUCCAGUGCAGAGAGAGGGAGUCAAGCUGCAGGUGAGAGAAGCUCGCUCCACCUGUACUCACAUGAAAGAGCAGGGCGGCACUAAAAAGGGUGAAAUCCCGCCAGGAUGUCAUUCUAAAGAAAAAUGAUGCCGCAGUAAAAUGCACAAAUGACACGUGUGAUGUUGGAAGUGAUCCACUUUAUUUCUUUGAGCGCCAAACGUAUUGACUUAUUCCUCUUUUUGUCGUCAGCGCGAGUGCAGCUUGGCAAGCGUUUGAAGUGUUGUCACGUGAAGAUGACAAGAAAGAUGAAAAGACGAGCUAGAGGCCACUUGUCUACCAGCUCUCAGGUGGGAUCAGGGAGGGCAGGAAUUCCCCCGCCUCAAGCAGAGCCCUGCCUUGUUCACGCACACACACUUUGUAAAUAUUAUGUAGCUCCCAAGAUGCAUUGAGGGAACAAGCAGCUCACGGCCGCUCCAGGUCGUCCUUGCUUCUUGACUAACUGAAACGGCGGGCGCGCGGGGCCAAGGUUAAAGGAGAGCUGGGUCAUGUUCCAACUUGUACACAAAGGCCAGUGUCAGCUGAUUGUGUCCUGGUUUUGUCACACAGCAGCCGAUCGAAACAAAAAAUAAACAGUGGCUGCUUGCCAGCAAGUAAAGGGUCUAUGAUGUGACAUCGCUUCCUGUGGAUGCGAUGAGCGGUUUGGUGUGCACGUGUUCU